UACGGGGGGGGCAAGCGUUGUUCGGAAUUACUGGGCGUAAAGGGUUCGUAGGUGGCUUGCUAAGUCAGACGUGAAAUCCCUCAGCUUAACUGGGGAACUGCGUCUGAGACUGGUGAGCUUGAGUGCAGGAGAGGAACGCGGAAUUUCAGGUGUAGCGGUGAAAUGCGUAGAUAUCUGGAGGAAUACCGGUGGCGAAGGCGGCAUCCUGGACCGACAUUGACGCUGAUGAGCGAAAGCCAGGGGAGCAAACGGG
rnacentral:rRNA from 1 species